CUCUCUUUCUUUCUUUUUUUUUUUUUUUUUUCAAGCAGAAGACGGCAUACGAGAUCAUGCCUAGUCUCGUGGGCUCGGAGAUGUGUAUAAGAGACAGGAUAAGAUGCGAGGGCUUCACCGCCUAUCAAGUCUUGACAAACUCCGAAUGCGCAUCAGUUCUACCGCAGGAGUGAGGGCAUGGGUGCUAAGGUCCGUGCCCGAGAGGAGAAGAAUCCGGACCACCUGCUAAGGUCCCGAAAUGACAGCUAAGUUAAACUAACGAAGUCUGACUGCUAAGACAGCUAGGAUGUUGGCUUGGAAGCAGCCAUUCAUUUAAAGAGUGCGUAACAGCUCACUAGUCGAGGAGUCGGGCGUGGAUAAUAAUCGGGUAUUAAGUUGUCUACCGAAGCAGUGGGAUCAUUAAUAUGAUCGGUAGGGGAGCAUUCCAGUCAGCGUCGAAGGCGUACCGUGAGGUAUUCUGGAGCGUCUGGAAAAGCAAAUGUAGGUAUAAGUAACGAUAAAGGGGGCGGGAAACCCCCUCGCCGAAAGACUAAGGUUUCCUGAUCAACGCUAAUCGGAUCAGGGUCAGUCGGGUCCUAAGGCUCAGCCGAACGGCGAUGCCGAUGGCAGAAACGGUUAAUAUUCCGUUACUACCUUCAGGAGUGACGUGGAGACGCAGUAGUGACAGUGCCGCCAUCUGACGGAAUAGAUGGUUGAAGGGUGUAGGAGUCGAUCAUGGCAGGCAAAUCCACCAUGAGAUCCGAACCUGAUAGUAUGCCGCGUCCUUCGGGACAAGGCAAUAGUGCGCGUAAGCAUGCUGCCGAGAAAAUCCGCUAAACUUAAUCCUGCAGGUACCCGUACCGCAAACGGACACACGUAGUCGGGAUGAAUAUUCUAAGGCGCUUGAGUGAUUCACGGUUAAGGAACUAGGCAAACUGACCCUGUAACUUCGGGAUAAAGGGUCCCUACCCUUUUAUGGGAGGGCGCAGAGAAUCGGUCCAGGCAACUGUUUAACAAAAACACAGGGCUGUGCCAAAUCGAAAGAUCCAGUAUACAGCCUGACACCUGCCCGGUGCUGGAAGGUUAAGAGGAGAUGUCAUCGAUAAGAGAAGCGUUGAAUUGAAGCCCCAGUAAACGGCGGCCGUAACUAUAACGGUCCUAAGGUAGCGAAAUUCCUUGUCGGGUAAGUUCCGGCCUGCACGAAUGGUGUAAUGAUCUGGACGCUGUCUCAAC
rnacentral:rRNA from 1 species